AGCUUCAGUAGCGUAUAUUAAAGUUGUUGCAGUUAAAAAGCUCGUAGUCGCAUUUCUGGCGAGAGGAUCCGGUCCGACCUUUUGGUGGGUUCUUGGGUCUCUUUCGCCAUCCUUGAGUGGUCCGUUCUGGCAUUAGGUUGUCGGAGCGUCAGCCGCUCAUCGUUUACUGUGAGAAAAUUAGAGUGUUCAAAGCAGGCUUAUGCCGUUGAAUAUAUUAGCAUGGAAUAAUAAGAUAGGACCUCGGUACUAUUUUGUUGGUUUGCGCACCAAGGUAAUGAUGAACAGGGACAGUUGGGGGUAUUUGUAUUUCGUUGUCAGAGGUGAAAUUCUUAGAUUUUCUAAAGACAAACUACUGCGAAAGCAUUUACCAAGGAUGUUUUCA
rnacentral:rRNA from 1 species